UGGGAAUAUUGCACAAUGGGCGAAAGCCUGAUGCAGCGACGCCGCGUGAGGGAUGACGGCCUUCGGGUUGUAAACCUCUUUCAGCAGGGAAGAAGCGAAAGUGACGGUACCUGCAGAAGAAGCGCCGGCUAACUACGUGCCAGCAGCCGCGGUAAUACGUAGGGCGCAAGCGUUGUCCGGAAUUAUUGGGCGUAAAGAGCUCGUAGGCGGUUAGUCGCGUCUGCUGUGAAAACUCGAGGCUCAACCUCGGGCUUGCAGUGGGUACGGGCUGACUAGAGUGCGGUAGGGGUGACUGGAAUUCCUGGUGUAGCGGUGGAAUGCGCAGAUAUCAGGAGGAACACCGAUGGCGAAGGCAGGUCACUGGGCCGCAACUGACGCUGAGGAGCGAAAGCAUGGGGAGCGAACAGGAUUAGAUACCCUGGUAGUCCAUGCCGUAAACGUUGGGCACUAGGUGUGGGGUCCAUUUCCACGGAUUCCGUGCCGCAGCAAACGCAUUAAGUGCCCCGCCUGGGGAGUACGGCCGCAAGGCUAAAACUCAAAUGAAUUGACGGGGUCAUAGCUGUUUCCU
rnacentral:rRNA from 1 species